CUGAUGGUCAGGUUAUUCAGGUGGAGGUAGUAGCUUGCUAAUGGUGGCUUUCACGUCCAGCGCAAAUACUAGUGGACGUGGACCUGUUGGGGAAAGCACGUACAUCUUUGUGUUUAGUGAGCAGGUUUCGGAAGAAAGAAAUACUCAAUGCCAUUCGGUGGUUUUCAAUGUGCCAGUGUCUACAUUCAUAGUACAUCAUUGAGUUUUACCUUCAACUAAGACUAUUUCCGUUGAGGUGAUUAUUUAUUUAUUCCUUUAUUGCUUAGAUUAGCUCUAACCAUUUCAGCCUUCUUUUCUGCUCUUAUUCAACUAUUUAUGUACUCCUAUCUCACCAAUUGUGUACCUAUUGUUGUGUGUAAUUUAAUGUGAGGCGCCGCACUCAUCCGUUCCAGCACUGCCGAGAUGGAGGCGACAUCACGGACGGCUGGAGCUGCGAGUAGAUUUGUCCAAGAUACAGCAGUGUUCGUAGUCAUAGUUCUGAUUCAAAAGAUAUACGGAUGAUUAUAUGGGUGCGUGGCAAGUAUACUGCAAUGAUGAUGAUGAUGUUCCUGGUUCACGAUGAAGACGAUGAUGGCUGUUCUCAGUUUUAGUUUAGUUGUAGGGAUGCUUUUCCUGUUGGAUGAUGUUCCUUGGUUAAGUUUUAGUUUAAGUUGUAGGGAUGUUGAUGGAUGAUUUCAGUUUAAGUUUUGCUGUCAAGAGAAUAUUCAGGUUAUGCAUCACAUUUGGAUGUUAUUCCUCCUGUGAUAUCAACUAUUGUAAUCCCACAGUUGUUUUCAAUAUAUGAUUUC